AACGAACGCUGGCGGCAUGCUUAACACAUGCAAGUCGAGCGGCCCGCAAGUGCAGCGGCAGUCGGCUGAGUAAGGCGUGGGGACUUACCUUUGGGUUCGGAACAACUCCGGGAAAGUUGAGCUAAUGCCGGUUAGGCUCUAACUGGGUAAGAUUUAGCGCCGAGAGAUCUGCUGGCGGCUGAUUAGCCGGUUGGUGAUGUACCGGCUCACCAAGGCGACGAUCAGUAGCUGGUCUGAGAGGAUGAUCAGCCACACUGGGACUGAGCCACGGCCCAGACUCCUCCGGGAGGCAGCAGUGGGGAAAAUUGGAGAAUGGGCGCAAGAGUGAUGCAGCCAUGCCGCGUGAGUGAUGCAGGCCUUAGGCUUGUAACGCUCUUUUGUCCGGGAAGAUAAUGACUGUACCGGAAGAAUAAGCCCCGGCUAACUUCGUG
rnacentral:rRNA from 1 species